rnacentral:rRNA from 1 species
GACGAACGCUGGCGGCGUGCUUAACACAUGCAAGUCGAACGGAAAGGCCCUGCUUUUGUGGGGUGCUCGAGUGGCGAACGGGUGAGUAACACGUGAGUAACCUGCCCUUGACUUUGGGAUAACUUCAGGAAACUGGGGCUAAUACCGGAUAGGAGCUCCUGCUGCAUGGUGGGGGUUGGAAAGUUUCGGCGGUUGGGGAUGGACUCGCGGCUUAUCAGCUUGUUGGUGGGGUAGUGGCUUACCAAGGCUUUGACGGGUAGCCGGCCUGAGAGGGUGACCGGCCACAUUGGGACUGAGAUACGGCCCAGACUCCUACGGGAGGCAGCAGUGGGGAAUAUUGCAGAAUGGGCGGAAGCCUGAUGCAGCAACGCCGCGUGCGGGAUGACGGCCGUCGGGUUGUAAACCGCUUUCGCCUGUGACGAAGCGUGAGUGACGGUAAUGGGUAAAGAAGCACCGGCUAACUACGUG